GACAGAGGGGGCAAGCGUUGCUCGGAAUUACUGGGCGUAAAGGGCGCGUAGGCGGGAUGGCAAGUCAGGUGUGAAAUCUCGGAGCUUAACUCCGAAACUGCAUUUGAUACUGGCGUGCUUGAGGACUGGAGAGGAGACUGGAAUUCACGGUGUAGCAGUGAAAUGCGUAGAUAUCGUGAGGAAGACCAGUGGCGAAGGCGGGUCUCUGGACAGUUCCUGACACUGAGGCACGAAGGCCAGGGGAGCAAACGGG
rnacentral:rRNA from 1 species